AUGUUUUUUUUGUCUGCACACAGGAUCCCUGGAGAACCUCCUGAGUGAAUUAGCAGUUCUUUGCUCAAUUCUCAGCGAGGUUGUUUCUCUGAGAUCCUAAUUGUCCCAAAUGUUCCUUUUAGAAAUAACAAAGGCUCUCCUCUUUGGAACACGGAGUGCCAUAGAUUUACAACACGAUGCUGGAUUCUAGAUAAGUGCUCUCAUCACCACAAGCUGAAUGGUCCCUCUGACAUUUCCCUCAUGCGACAUAGAGCGGCGAAGUGUCUCCAUGGCCAGAUGAUUGGAGCGUCCGAGCAGAGAUUCUCCGUUCACGGCGACCAGCUGAUCAUUGAUGUGCAGACGUCCAUCCUGUACCACAAACUCAUGUUCAAUCGAUUGCCCUUCAAAAAUGGGCCAAGUAGCACAUUUUACCAUGGGAAAAUAAAGGUAAUGCUGCUUUCAUUUAGGGUCACUGGAAAUUUGAGGGACCUUUUAGCACUGUAGGUCGCUCACCUUGUAAGCAGCUCCUCCAUGUAUGACAGAUUUGAUGAAAAUUCCCAAGUCCUCUCCUGUCUCCCUUGAUUUAUUUCCUUUGAGGCUGAUACCCAAACCUGCGGAGCCAGAGUCAUUGAGGGGCACCUCGAACAUGAGCUGCUCCUUUCCAUUCUCCAAAAUUAAGCCAUGGUCGCGAGGCCCCUCAUCUUUCUGAAGCAGAAGAGAAAACAAGGAAUGGCGAAUUGAAUCGUUUUUCAAUUUACCAUUAAGAUAACGAAUAAUGAUUUAAUUUGUAAAAGUCACCGCGCCCGAGGAAAAACAACCAAUCGGGAACAGAAGGUGGAGAGUUAUGAAUGUAAAAUGUAGUUUCAGUUGUUCCUUCUUAUUUUUCUUUUUAACAAAAAUAUUUUUUUUCAAUUUAAGUGAUAAGUUAUUUCCUUAUGUUAGUGUGGGGUGUGGCUUUGAUCGGGGACUGAGGAUUUUAAGCCACGCAAACUUCCCCCUUAAACAAAUGUGAACCUGUCACUUACAGGAAAAACAUUUUCCUCCCGGUCGCCUGUUUGCUUUUCAUCAACAAGGUUCCCCUAAAGCUACAACUGAGCGCGUAUGCUAAUCAUUUUGUAAAGCCCGGCAAAGCAGAGCAGAACAUUCAUCAUCAAAGCAUUGUACAGUAAGCACAUGUUCCCAAGCAACGGAACCAUUCCCAUUUGCAAGUCGCCUGCGGCUACAACCAGUACAGGGAUAAUCUGUCAGUCCUCUGCCUCAGGUGAACCCAGACAUAAUAGGCAUCCAUCAUGAUCCAUGUAGCAAUUGCAAAUGGAAUGCAUGAUGACAGCUAAAAGGUUCAACAAGAUGCUAGAUGGACCGGUUUCCAGGGCUACAAGGCUCACGGGUUGUACGCGGCCUUAGAAAUAGAGCUGGGGCAUGAGCAUCUUCUAUGAAGCAGCCGAGAAUAAGACCAACAAAUUUAACAUGCUUCUUAUCAGCAAAGUAGGAGCUCUCACUAAAUAAAGAGACGAGAGCUUACUUCUACCACAACAGCAUGCAGUUAACCGGGUAUAUUGUCACAGCUCAAAUAUGUGGCGCUAUCAAGGCCUCAGAAAGUAGACAAAGUAUUGUGCUGGUGCUCAAGAAAGUAGUAUUUAAUUUUCAGCAGGGCUGGUUUUCAGGCAUUCAACAAACAUGCCCAAAAAGAUAACUCAUAAUUUUUAUGCCUUAUUUUAUAAGCUGGCCGAUAUCUUUUAAUCAAUCAAAUUUGGGAGGUUUGUCAGCACCUUUUUCUCUGUAGUGUGUCAAAUUUACAAGACAUUUCAGGUUGAAUGAACUCUAAUAAAUUGUAAUAUUCCUUUUGUAUGGAUAUACAGUGCAGGGAUUACUAGAAUGUUCCUUCCUGCACAGUGUCCUGAUCAGACUGACAGUCAGUGUCUAGACAGGAUAGGAGGCAACACAAGCCCAGACAGAAAAGAUAAACACCAGGAAGAACUACUGACAGAUAAUGGAACAUUUUUAGACCUCUCGAGCAUUUCUGCUACUCCUACUACAGUAUUUUAUUCCCACAUCCUUAAUUACGAUACAAUCCCAAUUCUUUAUCAUGUUGCAGAAAUAACAAACAAUUCUGGAAGAAUGACCGAUUUGGUUACGGAACUUAAACCAAAAGAUCUCAGCAGCAGUUGAGACUUCCCAUGGGCCGUGAGAUGUUCAUAGAAUCUGACGAAAGUAUUCAAAUCAUAUCAUAUUGUUUAUUGAGCUGAUUAAUUCCACCUUCUUGUUGAACAAUGCAUAAACUCCAGUGACUUCUCCAGUGGGUUUUAAGAGAAAAACAGACAGAGGCAAAACUACUAAUCAGCGGGUUUGUGUGUGAAAUUAAUAUAAUAGAUCAUAACAUUUUUAUUGCAUGAUACAACUAUUGCAAUAAGUCCAUAUCGAUAUAAUCCAUGAUGGUGUUAUAUACGGUAUGUCUCAUGGCAAUUGUUCUUUAAUCAUGACUGUGUAUGAUGGCACAAAUGGAAAACACAAAUAAGAAAAAGUACUUUA